rnacentral:rRNA from 1 species
CUCACCAGGUCAGGACACGGUAAGGAUUGACGGACUGAAGGCUCUUUCUCGAUUCCGUGGAAAGUGGUGCAUGGCCGUUUUUGGUUGGUGGAUCGAUCCGUCUGGUUAAUUCCGUUAACGAACGAGACCUCGGCACUCCGAAUAGCGCGGCGGACGUCGCGGCCUCCGGGCCGUCUUCCGCACGAGCUUCUUAGAGGGACCGUCCCCCCGCCGGGGAAGGAGGUGCGAGGCAACGACAGGUCUGUGAUGCCCUUAGAUGUUCUGGGCCGCACGCGCAUUACACUGACGCGUCCAACGGGUGACUCCCGACCCGAAGGGGCCGGGGAAUCCGCAAGGCGCGUCGUGAUGGGGAUUGAACGUUGCAAUUGUUGUUCACGAACGAGGAAUUCCUAGUAGGCGCGGGUCAUCAACCCGCGCCGAUUACGUCCCCUGCCCUUUGUACACACCGCCC